AUCCAACUGACGAGUCUCAAACGGGACGAAACUCACAUCCUGGAU
rnacentral:hammerhead_ribozyme from 1 species